GGAGAGGUGCCGGAGCGGUCGAACGGGGCGGUCUCGAAAACCGUUGGGCGUGCAAGCGUCCCGUGGGUUCGAAUCCCACCCUCUCCGCCA
rnacentral:tRNA from 1 species